CGUAGGUGAACCUGCGGAAGGAUCAUUGUUGUAUAACCGAGGUGCGAGGGCUGUCGCUGACCCGAAAGGUCGUGCACGCCCGAGUGCCCUCACACACAUCCAUCUCACCCCUAUGUGCACCACCGCGUGGGUCCCCCUUUGGCUUGUUCGGAGGGGGGCUUACGUUUUCACACAAACUUUGUAUGCAGUGUAGAAUGUAUUUUUUGUUUUUGCGAUCACGCAAUCAAUACAACUUUCAACAACGGAUCUCUUGGCUCUC
rnacentral:misc_RNA from 1 species